GUUUGUUUGCCUGAGGAUGGGAUUUGUGGUUUUUUGUGGUAGCGGUGAAGCAACUUUGCCAAGUAUUCCGUUCAAGUUCCUCGCUGGAUGUCCCGCUCGUCCGUCGAUGUUCAACAGAUGCAACAAGUGCCAGUCCACUUUUUCUCAGCUGUACCCUAUCAGUCCAGGCAGCAGCAGCACCAUGUGUAUGUACAUAACUUCCAAGUGAAUUAAGACGCACGAGUGCAAUUCUGAAGCUGAUUUUCAGGCAUGGAGAGAAGAAAUGCGCAGGACGCAGCCAAGAGUCAUUUUACUAAAGGCACAGGGGUAAAAAGAUCGAAAGAUGGAAGUUUAAAGUGUUAUUAUAUUUGUAACUGAUCAGGCGCUUUUAUAGAGAGGACACAUCAAAGGAAAUAAGGUUCAUCAAAUCACAAGGUUCCGUCAGGCGUGGGGACACCUGCCUUGCUGAUAUGUCUGCAAUGUUCCAAACUGGCAAGGUCUCGUUUGUCUUCCAAUCUUCCUAUUAUGCACAUGAUUUUGGGGCUGUCCCACACCCCACUGACAAAAACAGAGGAAGAUGCAAUAGAGGAGCCCCGUAGCAGGCAUAUGCAGGCACUUGUAAAACACUAUGUUGUACUGGAAUGUCCUUUUUUUACCUUCAAGAAACUAUUUGUUGAUGUUAGGGAAACUAUGUGACGGCAUUGCACUCAGCGUACUAUGCAGCUCAGUAUUCGGGGUGUGCUGGAUGGCACGUUUCAAAGGAUACAAUUCACCUCACUACAAGGCAGUACUUGUACACCACCAUGAGGGACUAUAAUAUAUGUUACGGUGAGAGGAAACACGACGACAAUCAAAACAGUGUUGCCCUGUACAGUUCUAUCAGAGCCCAAACAAACAGUCCAGUGCUUUUCUUCAAGCAGCAAGGCGAGAAGGAUGACCCUACUGUCUUUCAACGAGGAAACACUGACUUGUUGCAAGAUGAGGAUUUCUUGUUAGUGCUCAUGACAGGUGUGCAAAAACAAAUGUCAAGGCAUUUGGGCACUGAGAAAGUGUGCGUAGAUUCUACACACGGCACCACAGGUGGGUCAUUCUAUGUAUACUGCCACUGCAUGCAUUUUGGUUAAAGGUUCAGGUGAAAAGGUUUACAGUAAUGCAUGCUCUCCUGCACUAUGACUUUUAAAGUAGCACAAAAGCCAUUUUUAACAUCCUGUUUUCUUCCUAUAAAACUGUUAAGUAGGCCAGUAAGAUGCACCAUGCGAAGUAAUUCACACCACAGAGUCAUAAUUAUCCCAGAAAUUUAAUGUAAAAUGCGCCGCAAAUAGCGUCCGUGCGCAACCAGAGAAGAGCAGUACCAGCCUGUGAUCAGCCUGGAACCUCGCGCGGGCGGUAUAAGGAGGACGCUCGCUGAUUGGUCUAGAGAAAUGUUGUCUGCUACUCCGCUGUCGUCUGCUAUUCGGCUGUUCCGGGUUCUGAAAAAGCCUUUUUCCUGGCUCAGUAAUGAUUCAUCCGCUCCUUCUAUUCCAAAUUCUCCGGGAGAACUGGCAAAACUGGUUUACGGUGGCAAAGGGACAAGGCGCUGACCUCCACUGACCGGCGAACCAGAACGAGUUCUCCUUAUAACGUCAUCGGUGAUGUGGCAUCAUACCUUCUCAUCCUCAUUAUACCUGGAGUGGUGAGCUAUGGGUGAACGCGCAGGGCCAUGUUUAUGUGAGUUUUUUCUGGGAAACAAAUUGCACACAUCAAAACCCUUUGCGCUAUUCGGUGAAAUGACACACACGCUUUCAUCAGACGCCUUAAUCUGAAAUUUUUUUCGAUGGCGCUCUGGGACUCCUUUAAAGUGAAGACCAUAUCCUACAUUUUGAGCUUUGUUUGGAAGCUGUUACAGCAUGUAAAUAUAUUUAAGUGUGGGUAUGUACCUGGACACAUAGGUGGCACUUUGUAUGACUCCUAUAAAGAGCUCUGAUUUGAGAAAUUCAUGUCUUAUAGAAAAAAGAAUGCGGUUAACAUGCUGCCAACAUUACAAGUACAACUUGUCACUCGCUGCAGUCUGCAUUUUAUGUUCCGCUUUUAUUCUAUAUGCUUUAUUCCUGUCCUGUACUGAGUACUCUCCUGCAAUAUGACAAAACAUUCACAAAACUUCCAGUUGAUUGCUGCCUACUUUCAGAAUUUGUUAUUACAUAUUUCUCUGUGUUCCAUCAACUGAUGGUGCAUGGGAACCUUAGGUUUCUUUAAGCAUCGGAAAAAAGACUGCCCUGUCUGUGCGCAUUGUCUCGUUGUGACAGUUUAUUAUCAUUACAUGUUGUAACAGCUUUAUGUAUCCCUUUUAAAGAAAGCUUUCGAUCUUGCACGAAGGUACUCAUGAUUUCUUCUUCUGCUCUUGUUCAAGGAAGGGUAACAGUAAUGGUAACGGAAACAGAAACGGUAUAUUACCGAAAUUGGAGAUGGUAACGAUAAUGGAAACGCAUAUCACUGUGCUCCAUUACCGGAAAUAGAAACGGAAACGAAAAAUUAUCAUCCGGUAUUGAAUUCGGGUAAUGGCUAUUACUGUUGUGCAAUGACAUUUCAGUGGCUUUUAAUUUUAUUUUUGUAUUUUGAUGACAUUCCCUAUAAUACUCUAAAUACUACACGACAGCAUGGAAACAAAGCGCAAUGUUGGAUGUCGACUGUGCAUUACUCGCUUACCGACUCGUGACAUUACCUGUAUGGCAUCGAGACAUUAGACUUAAACAACAUAGAUUCCACGCACUCUACUCCACCAUAGCUCGAGGAUGACAGCAUAUGAUUUUUAUUAUUUUUAUUUUUUACUUUCUUCUUUUCACCGUGGCAAUGGCAGUAUUGUUUACGACUGAGAGUGUCCACCUAUGAAUGCGACAUUGGAUGAAGGUUACGCCCAUCCUGGGUUGCUGGACUCAGAGUGACUGGAGACAGAGCUUGGCAGACUUUUGAGCUUGGUCUGGGGUAUAUUACAGCAGGUAAAUACAUUUAAGUGUGGUGACAUACAUACACAUAACACAUAUAAUUGGCAAUUUGUAUAUCCUAUAAAGUGCUCUGACCUGAGAAAUCUUGUAGAAAAAAUUGUGUUAAUAUUCUGCCAAUAAGAAGUGGAAUAAACUUUCCACUCACUG